rnacentral:rRNA from 1 species
AGAGCGAACGCUGGCGGCAGGCCUAACACAUGCAAGUCGAGCGCCCGUAGCAAUACGGGAGCGGCAGACGGGAUAGUAACACGUGGGAACGCGCCCUUCGGUUCGGAAUAACUCAGGGAAACUUGAGCUAAUACCGGAUACGCCCUUACGGGGAAAGAUUUAUUGCCGAAGGAACGGCCCGCGUCCGAUUAGCUAGUUGGUGAGGUAAUGGCUCACCAAGGCUACGAUCGGUAGCUGGUCUGAGAGGAUGACCAGCAUCACUGGGACUGAGACACGGCCCAGACUCCUACGGGAGGCAGCAGUGGGGAAUAUUGCACAAUGGGCGAAAGCCUGAUGCAGCGACGCCGCGUGAGGAUGACGGCCUUCGGUUGUAACCGUCUUCAGCUCCGACGAAGCGAAAGUGACGGUAGGAGCGAGAAGAAGCACCGGCCAACUACGCGCCAGCAGCCGC